rnacentral:rRNA from 1 species
UACGUAGGUGGCGAGCGUUGUCCGGAUUUACUGGGCGUAAAGAGCGCGCAGGCGGUCGUUCAAGUCGCGUGUGAAAGCCCCCGGCUCAACUGGGGAGGGUCACGCGAUACUGAUCGACUCGAAGGCAGGAGAGGGAAGUGGAAUUCCCGGUGUAGUGGUGAAAUGCGUAGAUAUCAAGCGGAACACCGGUGGCGAAGGCGGCCUUCUGGACAGUGACUGACGCUGAGACGCGAAAGCGUGGGGAGCAAACAGG